CAGUAGCCGCGGGAAUACGUAGGUGGCAAGCGUUGUCCGGAAUUAUUGGGCGUAAAGGGCUCGCAGGCGGUUUCUUAAGUCUGAUGUGAAAGCCCACGGCUCAACCGUGGAGGGUCAUUGGAAACUGUUAAACUUGAGUGCAGGAGAGAAAAGUGGAAUUCCUAGUGUAGCGGUGAAAUGCGUAGAGAUUAGGAGGAACACCAGUGGCGAAGGCGGCUUUUUGGCCUGUAACUGACACUGAGGCGCGAAAGCGUGGGGAGCAAACAGGAUUAGAUACCCCCGUAGUCCCUGUCUCUUAUAC
rnacentral:rRNA from 1 species